UGCGGAAGGAUCAUUAAUGAAUUUGAAUCGCCUUUUGGUCGUGCUGGCUUUGCAAGUGCACACUAAUUGGUUUCAUCCAACACCCUUGUGCACCUUUGGCCUCGCGUUGUAAUGUGCCUCGGUCUUUUAGGCCUUGGUGCGGAUCGCGCGAGGAUAUUACACAAAAUCGUAUGUAACAGAAUGUAGAUCUAGUGCGUAAGCACGAAAUGUACAACUUUCAACAACGGAUCUCUUGGCUCUCGCAUCGAUGAAGAACGCAGCGAAAUGCGAUAAGUAAUGUGAAUUGCAGAAUUCAGUGAAUCAUCGAAUCUUUGAACGCACCUUGCACCCUUUGGUAUUCCGAAGGGUAUGCUCGUUUGAGUGUCAUUGUAAUCUCACACCCUAAGAUUUUUCGAAGGGCGGUGGAUUUGGAUGUUGCCGCGUCGAGCGGCUCGUCUUAAAUGCAUUAGUGCAACUUACGGUUGAACAUAGUACGGCGUGAUAAGUAUCUUCGCUGGCUCUCCUUCGGGAGGUGUUUGAACGUUAGCUCUGCGCUUCUAAUCGUCCCUUGGGACUAAAGCCUCGGCUUACUUGACAACUUGACCUCAAAUCGAGUAGGACUA
rnacentral:rRNA from 1 species